CCCGGGGAAAGGAUGAGCAAUCCUGUUUGCGCUGUUUCUCAGGCGGGCUCAGGACUCGGGAGUGCAGUGGAGUGCAUGGCACCGCCUGUGCCCAACUCACUCCGUGCCAGGAAGUGCAGCUCCAGGGCUGCCUGGGCCCGUGUGGUCGUGUGAAGUGGGUGCCUGCAUGUUCAGCACGGGAAGGCUGAAGUGUGUGUGGACACAUCUGCACUCCGGAAGGACUGCACAAACCAAAGCUGCUUCCAGGCAGCGCUGAGCCAGGCCCUGUUGCCGGGCGCUCGCUGACGCGCAGCCGAUGAGGACCCCGCAGCUCUCACUGAUGACGCGGUGCCUCUGGUCGACUGGCCAACCGUGGCUGCCUUCGAAGUCAUCACACUUGAGACCAGGUUCCAGAUCUAUGAAGUGAUCCUGCUGCCUGAUAUUCUGUGUGGAGCUGUCCUUACAGCAGUCUCUGCUUUCAUGUUCAGCCCUGGGGAGGAACCUUACCUCAGGUCUGCAACCGAAGAUGAACGCAACCUCUCUGGACCUCAGAUCCUCGAGAAUGGAGGUGGUGACCACCCCAAUUCAUGUGGCUUUGUAGAGGCUGACACAGGACAGAUGUCACACGCAGAGCAUUUCACAUGUGCCUGGCACAGUGUGGUGAAGUUCAGGCCAUCAUACGGACUGUGUUUCUCAGAACUGCCUAUGGGCUGAGAAUUUUGAGACUUCCAGUUGAACCCUACUUCAGUACUACCCAGCGAUGUAGCCCGGAGAGUGUCGUCUAAUACCUGUGAACUUGAGUUUGUUGGCUGUCAAUUAAAGGGGUUGGAACAAAAGUGUGUCGAGGAAAUAAGAUUGUUGGCUGAGGAAUCUUGAAUUCAAAUCCAAACACCUAGAAUAUGAAACAGAGAUUGGAACUCCAAAGAACAGAUGGGCCUGGGCAGUCUGACCUGUUUUAGG
rnacentral:lncRNA from 1 species